rnacentral:rRNA from 1 species
GAUGAACGCUGGCGGCGUGCCUAAUACAUGCAAGUCGAGCGAACAGACGAGGAGCUUGCUCCUCUGACGUUAGCGGCGGACGGGUGAGUAACACGUGUAUAACCUACCUAUAAGACUGGGAUAACUUCGGGAAACCGGAGCUAAUACCGGAUAAUAUAUUGAACCGCAUGGUGGAAUAGUGAAAGACGGUUUUGCUGUCACUUAUAGAUGGAUCUGCGCCGCAUUAGGUAGUUGCGAAGGUAACGGGUUACCAAGGCAACGAUGCGUAGGCGACGUGAUAGGGUGGUAGCCGACCCUGGAACUGAGACACGGACAAGGCGCCUGCGGGAGGCAGCAGUAGGGAAUCGUCCGCAGUGGGCGAAAGCAUUGCGGAACGGGGCCGCGUGAGUGAUAAAGGUCUUCGGAGCGUAAAACUGUGUUAUGAGGGAAAAACAAAUGUGUAAGUAACUAUGCACGGCUUGACGGUACCUGAUCAGAAAGCCACGGCUAACUACGUG